UCCCUGGUGGUCCAGUGGUUAAGACUCCGCACUUGUACUGCAGGGGGCACAGGUUUGAUCCCUGAUCGGGGAA
rnacentral:tRNA from 1 species